rnacentral:rRNA from 1 species
UACAGAGGGGGCAAGCGUUGUUCGGAAUUACUGGGCGUAAAGGGCGCGUAGGCGGCCUGUUAAGUCGAACGUGAAAUCCCCGGGCUCAACCCGGGAACUGCGUCCGAAACUGGCAGGCUUGAAUUCGGGAGAGGGAUGCGGAAUUCCAGGUGUAGCGGUGAAAUGCGUAGAUAUCUGGAGGAACAUCGGUGGCGAAGGCGGCAUCCUGGACCGAGAUUGACGCUGAGGCGCGAAAGCCAGGGGAGCAAACGGG